GUGGCAAAGGUGGCAAGGGUGGCAAGGGUGGCAAAGGUGGCAAGGGUGGCAAGGGUGGCAAGGGUGGCAAGGGUGGCAAAGGUGGCAAGGGUGGCAAUACCGUGAACCUCUGACUAUAAGCCUUGGGCUUAUAUUCUUUUGUAAGCGAUUUUUGAUGGGCUUGGGGGUGGGGGAGCUUAUAUACGGGGCCUUAUACCUGGACGAUCGAUUGUGUUAGUAAUAAACAAGUCAGUCAGAAACAGGAAAAUAAACAUGUAUUAAUAACACACUUCGAUUAACAUAGUAAGCUAUAAAGACAAUGACAGUGUUUUAAAUAUCGUUCUCUGCUAUAUUAAAGGCAAUGUCAAUGUUAAAUCACAUAGUGGGACACUGGGCUUAUAUUCAGGGGACUUAUAUUCAGGGGGGGGCUUAUAUUUGGAAUGAGGUGAGCAUUUAUUCAGAGGUUUACAGUAUACAUUACAGUUGAAAAAAGCUUGUAUUUUCUUGUCAUAGACACACAUUUCUGGGUGCAUAUAGAACAUCUUAUACGUUGGGUUCUCAUGUCGAUCCAAUGGUAAUUUGAUAUCACUGCCAUCACCAUAGUAUAGUGUAGCACAGAAUGGCCUGUAUCCUACUACAAAUGCCUUGGUCAUUCAUGUGGAGAUAUGACUAUCACGAUAGAAUUAGUUUAUACGCCAAGUAACAUGUCCUACACGUCAGGUAGCAGCUGAAAUAUUUUAAUAUUUGCCAUAAUUCGCCCAUAACCUGUUGGCAAAACAUCUUCACCAUUUUACAAUGGCCGAGAGCCCGAGAUACAUUUGAAUGUCUCGUCUUUUAACGAAUAUUCAAGCCUUCUUUAAUUCUUUUCGCUAGAACAGCUUUAAUGGAGCGAUUGCAGAAUACCCGUCCACGCAUAAAUCGUGAUACUAAGUGGUACGCGGAUACGUGGCUACGCAGUGAGUUGAAUUAAAAAUAUGGUAAAGAUAAAAGAUAGAUGCAUGUAUAGUAUUUAUUGGAUACGCGGAUACUUGGCUACGCAGUGAGUUGAAUUAAAAAUAUGGUUAAUUAAGACGGCUAAAGAUAGAUGUAGUAUUUACUGGAUACGCGGAUACUUGGCCACGAAGUGAUUUGAAUUAAAAAUGUGGUAAAGACUAAAGAUAGAUGUAGUAUUUAUUGGAUACGCGGAUACUUGGCUACGAAGUGAGUUCAAUUUAAAAUGACGUAAUGAUAAGAUAGAUGUAGUAUUUAUUGGAUACGCGGAUACUUGGCUACGCAGUGCAGGGGCGGACAUAUCGAUUUUGACUGGGAGGGUGUAAUCACGAAAUGAGACCGACUCACCACUGAAAUGUGAAUCCAGACCGACUCUUGGUGAGUUGGUGUGUUGCAAUAAAAUUGAGUACAAAGCAU